ACUAGAUUGACAGAUAAAUGUAUCAAAUUUAGAAUUUGAAUAUGCUAAGAGCAUUUAGUA
rnacentral:tRNA from 1 species